rnacentral:rRNA from 1 species
CAGCAGCGCGGUAAUACAGAGGGUGCGAGCGUUAAUCGGAUUUACUGGGCGUAAAGCGUGCGUAGGCGGCUUUUUAAGUCGGAUGUGAAAUCCCUGAGCUUAACUUAGGAAUUGCAUUCGAUACUGGGAAGCUAGAGUAUGGGAGAGGAUGGUAGAAUUCCAGGUGUAGCGGUGAAAUGCGUAGAGAUCUGGAGGAAUACCGAUGGCGAAGGCAGCCAUCUGGCCUAAUACUGACGCUGAGGUACGAAAGCAUGGGGAGCAAACAGGAUUAGAUACCCGUGUAGUCCCUGUCUCUUAUACA